AGGAGUGUCUGAGACAGGAGUAGGAUGUACACUGCAGAAUUUUGGACAUCCCAUACAGAAUGCAUACUGGCUGAACAGGAAUGACCUCAUUAGAUUCCAGAUUAUACUCUGAGUCUUCCUGCCUGGCUCUAUUCUUUUUCUGAAAUCUUUGGAAUGGAGAACAUCCUUUUUCAGUCUCAUUCUGUGAACUGCAUUGCAAGCCCUGAAGAGAAAAAAGAGGUAUGAGAAACAGUUG